GACGAACGCUGGCGGCGUGCUUAACACAUGCAAGUCGAACGGAAAGGCCCUGCUUUUGUGGGGUGCUCGAGUGGCGAACGGGUGAGUAACACGUGAGUAACCUGCCCUUGACUUUGGGAUAACUUCAGGAAACUGGGGCUAAUACCGGAUAGGAGCUCCUGCUGCAUGGUGGGGGUUGGAAAGUUUCGGCGGUUGGGGAUGGACUCGCGGCUUAUCAGCUUGUUGGUGGGGUAGUGGCUUACCAAGGCUUUGACGGGUAGCCGGCCUGAGAGGGUGACCGGCCACAUUGGGACUGAGAUACGGCCCAGACUCCUACGGGAGGCAGCAGUGGGGAAUAUUGCACAAUGGGCGGAAGCCUGAGGCAGCAACGCCGCGUGCGGGAUGACGGCCUUCGGGUUGUAAACCGCUUUCGCCUGUGACGAAGCGUGAGGGACGGUAGUGGGUAAAGAAGCACCGGCUAACUACGG
rnacentral:rRNA from 1 species